AGUAGUUUGAUCCUGGCUCAGGAUGAACGCUGGCGGCGUGCCUAAUACAUGCAAGUCGAGCGAGAAUCUCUGAAUUGAAACUUCGGUAGAUAUGAUGAGAGGACAGCGGCGGACGGGUGAGUAACGCGUAGGCAACCUGCCCCUGACAGAGGGAUAGCCAUUGGAAACGAUGAUUAAAACCUCAUAACGCCAGACUGACACAUGUCAGCCCAGCCAAAGAUUUAUCGGUCAGGGAUGGGCCUGCGUCUGAUUAACUGGUUGGUGAGGUAACGGCUCACCAAGGUGACGAUCAGUAGCCGACCUGAGAGGGUGAUCGGCCACAUUGGAACUGAGACACGGUCCAAACUUC
rnacentral:rRNA from 1 species